UCCCUGAAGGACUAAUGGUUAGGCCAUAGCGCCCUCACCGCCGUGGCCUGGGUACGAUUCCUGGCCAGGGAA